GGUUGGGGAUGGGCUCGCGGCCUAUCAGCUUGUUGGUGAGGUAAUGGCUCACCAAGGCGUCGACGGGUAGCCGGCCUGAGAGGGUGACCGGCCACACUGGGACUGAGACACGGCCCAGACUCCUACGGGAGGCAGCAGUGGGGAAUAUUGCACAAUGGGCGAAAGCCUGAUGCAGCAACGCCGCGUGAGGGAUGACGGCCUUCGGGUUGUAAACCUCUUUUAGCAGGGAAGAAGCGAAAGUGACGGUACCUGCAGAAAAAGCACCGGCUAACUACGUGCCAGCAGCCGCGGUAAUACGUAGGGUGCAAGCGUUAUCCGGAAUUAUUGGGCGUAAAGAGCUCGUAGGCGGUUUGUCGCGUCUGCUGUGAAAUCCGGAGGCUCAACCUCCGGCCUGCAGUGGGUACGGGCAGACUAGAGUGCGGUAGGGGAGAUUGGAAUUCCUGGUGUAGCGGUGGAAUGCGCAGAUAUCAGGAGGAACACCGAUGGCGAAGGCAGAUCUCUGGGCCGUUACUGACGCUGAGGAGCGAAAGGGUGGGGAGCAAACAGGCUUAGAUACCCUGGUAGUCCACCCCGUAAACGUUGGGAACUAGUUGUGGGGUCCAUUCCACGGAUUCCGUGACGCAGCUAACGC
rnacentral:rRNA from 1 species